GUCUGCAGUAUGCUGUUGCCAGAAGAGGAUGUCUGUGUUGAGCAGGGUGCUCAGCUCUCCACGAGAUGCUAUCUACUGAGGUUAAAGACUUUUUGAAGUAAAGAGGAGCAUCUCAUCUGAAACUGAUGUCUAUCAUGGAUAUUUAACUGAAGUUCUGUGAGUAUCCCAACUUAACCAUGAAGAUGAACUGCAAACUGUAAGUCAUUAAUUUCUCAUUACUCUUGGGCACAUUGAUGUAUUUUUGCUUCCUGAUGAGUUAACCCGUUACCUAAAGGUUGAUCUGAGUAGUAAGGAUGUUUUAUUGGUUCAUUGGUUUCUUAGGUGUUUGGUUUAUGUUGGUUUUAAUGAUUUGUUAAAAUGGUUACGAGAUCCAAGUUAUUGUUGUAAGCUGGAGUAAUGGGUUGGGUUCUGAUGUCUUAAGUCUUCUUUCCAGCUACUCUCCUGAGCUCUGCAUCUUCAACACACGAGUGUUGCUUUACUGAUGAGGGUGUGGUCUGAGUGAGCGGAGGUGCAUACUGGGAUACAGAGCUGUCUGAAUUCUACAGGUCUGUAGGCACGCCCCCUCAGGGGAAACCAAGUGUUUCAGAAACCGUCGUGACGUCAGUUACAUGGACUAGAAUGUUCUCUAAGAUGGAGACGGGAUUCAGAAGGAGAAACGCCAGGGGGAGAUGAGGGGGCUCCUCAUCUCGACAGCUGAAACACAACUUCAGUCUGACAGAGAGAACCAUGGAACACAUUCAACAGUCCUCCAGGCAUCGUGACUCCUCAGGAAAAGUUUCAUUUCCAAGAAGGUCUUAUUUGGGGCCAUCCCCAUAUGGAUCCUGCUCCUCAAGAGCCAACCACCCUCCACUGAGUGGUCUUCUGAAGAGAUGACUUCCUUCCUGUCCUCAGGCUGAUUAAAGCUGCACCGUUUGCAUCUGUGAAUGCCCCUUAUUCAGGAAACCACUGGACUACAAAGACAUGACUUCAGAAACAUUGAAUCAACCUGGGACACAUUUUGGAGACGCCAAGCAUAAUCCAUCACCAAUGUGGGACGCCACUGAAAAAUGUUGCACAUAAUUUACUUCUCUGGAGAUAUUGGUUGUUCUGUUCUGGGUGCCCUGGCAGGAGAGCUGGGGUUGGAUGAUGGAACGUUAUUUGGCAUGAGGUUUUUACCCUGCAUGAUUGUUGGCCUUUUAUGGCUCAGUGGUGUGUGUGUGUGUGUGUGUGUGUGUUUGGGUUUGACAUGAGAUGGAUGAUUUUUCAUCGCUAGGGUUCUACUGUGUGUGUGUGUGUCUCCCACUCACACCUGGCAUGGGGUUCUACGUGCCUGUCCUGGGUUCUAUGCGUGUGUCUGUGUCCGGCUUGCUUUGACAGUGAUAAUGUUCGUACGGGGGGUCUGUGUGAUUGGCUUGGGAUAUUGGAGUGGUCAAAUAAAUCAUACCUGAUGGACGGCCACACGUUUACUUAAGGACCUCCAGCAGAAAUGAGCCCAGAGCGACGCUGCGGAGCGAUAUCCAACACACUGGGCAGGAAGGAGGGUAUCCAACUCAAGUGUAAAAGGAUGCAAGCGGCGUGUUCAGAUCAGUGACUUCAAACUAGGACUACACCAAUCAGGAUCAAUGGAGGAUGGACACCUAAAUUCCACAAGGAGUCUGACGUUGGAAAGGGACCUAAAUGGAUAUUCAAGAUGACCUUCAGACCUGUAAUGAGACAGCUCUUCCUACCUGGCUGGAUUGAUGGAGAGCCCUGUGGAUCUUGUCUUGAUCUCAGUUGCACGUCUUCUCAGGCUGAACUCUAAUUGUCUCGGACAGGACUAGCUGAACGAUUGGUUCCCUUAAAUCAGAACCAAUCCGGGAACUCCAGCAAGUGCACUCUUCGAGCUGAAGUUGUGCUCUUCAGCUGAGGAGCUAAGGAAACCUUCACUGGGGCUUCAAGAUGUAAAGAGGAGAAUGUUUCAAAGUGUUCCAUGGUACUCUGAUGAAGACCGUUGGUGUGUUCCACUGGCUGAGAGGAAGAACCCACACAUCUUCCUCUUGGCCUUUCUCCUCUCAGAAUCCUGGCGCCAUCUUGAAGGAUAUUCCAGCUCAUGUAACUGAUGUCACGACAUAUUCACAAACACUUGGUUUCUCCUGAGGGGCGUUUCUAUAGAACUGAAGACUUCAGACAGCACUGUAUCCCAGCAUGCAUCUCUGCUCACUCAGACCACACCCCCAUGAGUAGGAUGCAACACUCUAGUGAUGGAGAUGUAGUGUUUUAUAAGUAACGAGGGAGCAGACUAAGGGGAUUAGAACACAAUGGCAUGUUAAGUCUGUAAAUCUUUAAACCAUGAAGAUGGUUGGAAAAGUCAGGAAUUAGGCUUAUUUUUGAUAUGGGCAGUCCUUUCACUCGGAUGCUCACUUCUUACUGGAAAUGUACAUGCGUUGGCUGGCUGGCAUGAUUUGCUGUUGGUGAUGAGGUGGUCAGGGUGACGUUGCAGGGCUAUGGUCGGCUCUCUGUGAGCUCAACGUUUAGAUUUUCUCUGUAUGGUUUGUACCCUGAAUAAUCUAGAUAAUUGUAAAAUGUAGACACGGUUUUGCAUUGAAUGAUUCCAGGAUUUUAGUUUUAAAGUUGUUGUACAUGGUAGUUUGGUUCUUCGUAUGGUUUUGAGUGAUUAUAACUUGUACACACUGGGUGCAUAAUAAUGUAAUGUUACAUUGAAUAGUAUUAAUGACCAACAGCAACAAACAGAUCUCCUCAAGGUAAGUCUGUUGGCUGUAUUUUAAUGAAGAUCAUCGCUGGACUUCAGGAUCUUCCUCCGUUCAGCUCAAGGUGAGGCGCUGGUUAUUUUUCUUUGGUUGGUUCCGGCCGGAAUGUUCGGAUUCCAGUCGGACGGUUUGUGCUUCCCGCCGUGGAAGGUUCUGAGUGCGGUCACUUGAUUUUAGUCCCAAUGGUUAGCAUAGAAAGUUGUAGUCUUGACAACCAUAAGAAACCACCUGGCAGUUAGUUGGACACGAACGUCGUACAAUAUGUUAAUUUUCGAUGUUUGCGCCGUACUUUUAACCACGUUGACGGGACUCUCGCUGCGUACAAUACGGCGUUCUACUUGCGGCCCAAUUUUUGACCUCGGUGAAGGCUGAAAAUUAUUUCAAGGUGGAAGACAAUUUGACAUUUCUUCAAAGGAACCCAGCACCUGAAUAUGAGUUGAGUAAAUUUGAUUUAAUAUUGAUACUGCUUAGUGUUCAUUGUUACUUCACCUUUUGUACGUUCUAAAUAUAUGCUGUCAUUAAUUGCCACAGAAGUUAAACCCUACCCAAUAGAAUGACGUAAAUCAACGACUUUGAUGCAGAGUUACCAACUGGAUAAUAUCAAAGCUAAAAUAAUGGCCGUCAUUUCCACAUGUUGCAGUAGAAGAUACUCUAGAACUGUAGAAGGUUAAAAAAGGUAAAAUGUAGUUUGUCCCAUGGUGUCUGCCUCCUCACCCAGAGCAAGACCUCCACCUCCUUACCCAGAGCCAGACCUCCACCUCCUGUCAGAAGUCCUCCAGAACAGCUCAAAGGUGAGGCUGAGAGGCUUGGGACCGGAGGCUUGUGGUGCCAGGAUGGACCGGAGACUGAGGCUGGAGACCAGGGGCCUGCAGCACCGGACCAGAGGACCAGGAAUCCAUGGCUGAAGGAGCUGAUGGAGGAGCCGCGCUGAAGGCCCUGCCUGGUGGAGGAGCCGUGCUGACGGCCCUGCCUGGUGGAGGAGCCGUGCUGACGGCCCUGCCUGGUGGAGGAUGUCUUUCGUGGGACCAGGACUCUGUCUGAGGAGAGCAGAUGGAGGAGCUGAGACGCUGGAGGACAACUGGGAAUCGACCAACAAGGAUUCCUCACCAAGAAUCUGGAGGACUGACGGAGAAGCCGUACAUCUGGAAGGCAAAUCCUGAGGACGAUCAGGACUCUACCAUCAAGGAUUCCUCACACACCUGAGCUGAACCUCACCUGAUCCUGUUUGGUCGGGGGCAGACGCACCUGAGCUGAACCCCACCUGAUCCGGACAUCCUGCUGGUCCCGUCUCCUCAGUUCAUCUGAGCCUCUUCCUCCAGAAGACAUGCUGAGCUCAGCGGUCUGAGGCUGAUGUAUCAAUGACCUCCAGUGGGAGUGAUCUUCUUGACCCCACAUGUAGCCGUGUGCUUCCACACGCCUUUCCCUCAUGUCUGUCACUAACCUCAUUACUUCACUACUCUCUACUCCUUCCCCUUCUUCCUUCUCCGUGGUUCGAACCUUUAAUCUGAAGGAGUGUCUCCUUGAACCUUUACACUGAAGGAGCGUCUUCCUGCCCUCAGAGGGUUCAGCGUUAGGGUUGAGAGUCAGGGUUUAGAGUCAGGGACAGAGCUGGUCAGGGAGGGCUGGUUUUACAUAAACCUUUUCACUUGCUUUCUGAAUGGUGGUGACAUUUUGAAAAGAUUAAUUUGGGAAAAUGUUUUCCUCUGCUUUCCUUUACAAAAAUAUGUAUUCAACUUCUGUGUUUGUAACCAGACCAGGUAUCCAUGGCUGAAGGAGCUGAUGGUGAAAGAGCUGGUGGAGGAGCCGUGCUGACGGCCCUGCCUGGUGGAGGAGCCGUGCUGACGGCCCUGCCUGGUGGAGGAGCCGUGCUGACGGCCCUGCCUGGUGGAGGAGCCGUGCUGACGGCCCUGCCUGGUGGAGGAGCCGUGCUGACGGCCCUGCCUGGUGGAGGAGCCGUGCUGACGGCUCUGCCUGGUGGAGGAUGUCUGUCGUGGGACCAGGACUCUGUCUGAGGAGAGCAGAUGGAGGAGCUGAGACGCUGGAGGACAACUAGGAAUCGACCAACAAGGAUUCCUCAACGUGUUUCUGUAGCGGAGGCCAGCUGGUAGGGGAGCCGUGAAUCUGGAGGAUGACCAUCACUCUACCAACAAGGAUUACUUUAGGGCCAGACUCGCGCUGUUUGUUCCAGACCAGGACUCUGGCUGAGGAGAGCUGAUGGAGCCAAGACUCUGGAGGACGACAUCACUCCACCAACCAGGAUCCUCAGACGAAUUACGUUUGUAACCAGACCAGGAAUCUGGAAGACUGUUGGAGGAGCCGUACAUCUGGAAGGCAAAUCCUGAGGCCCAGCAGGACUCUACCAUCAAGGAUUCCUCAUAAGUUUGCAUUAUCUGGACAUAGUGGACUAGACACACCUGAGCUGAACCUCACCUGAUCCUGUUUGGUCGGGGGUUGACACACCUGAGCUAAACCCACCCUGAUCCUGACAUCCUGCUUGUCCCGUCUCCUCAGUUCUCCUGAGCCUCGUCCUCCAGAAGACCUGCUGAGCUCAGCAGUCUGAGGCUGAUGGAUCAAUGACCUCCAGUGGGAGGGAUCUUCUUGACCCCACUUGUAACCGUGUGCUUCCACACGCCUUUCCCUCACAUCUGUCACUAACCUCACUACUUCACUACUCUCUACUGCUUCCUCUUUUCUUCCUUCUCUGUGGUUUAAACCUUUAUACUGAAGGCGCGUCUUCCUGCCCUCAGAGGGUUUAGCAUUAGGGUUGAGAGUCAGGGUUUAGAGUCAGGGACAGAGCUGGUCAGGGAGGACUGCUUUCACACAAACCUCUUGACUUGCUUUCGGAAUGGUGGUGACAUUUUGAAAAGAUUCAUUUGGUAAAAUCUUUUCCUCUGCUUCCCUUUACAAAAUUGUAUCAAACUUCUGUCAAGUGUUUUUGUUUAAAUAUUAAAAUCCCACAUUGACUUCUACAUGUUUGGUGCGGUUCAUUUAAUUGUCCUUUAACUUGGUUAAUGUCAAGCUAAACUCCUGCAAUACAUUAAUAGCCAUGAUUGUUAUUUGGCAAUGUUCACAUAAUCCAUUUUGUAAAAAUAUGAAACCCCAAUAUUGCUA
ensembl:lncRNA